rnacentral:tRNA from 1 species
UCUAAUAUGGCAGAUUAGUGCAAUAGAUUUAAGCUCUAUAAAUAAAGAAAUUUUACUUUUAUUAGAA